GUGCCAGGAGCCGCGGUAAUACCGGCAGCUCAAGUGAUGUCCCAUAUUAUUGGGCCUAAAGCGUCCGUAGCUGGGUCUGAAAGUCCAUCGGGAAAUCCACUCGCUCAACGAGUGGCCGUCCGGUGGAAACUCCACACCUUGGGACCGGAAGGCUCGAAGGGUACGGCCGGGGUAGGAGUGAAAUCCCAUAAUCCCGCACGGACCACCGAUGGCGAAAGCACUUCGAGAAAACGGAUCCGACAGUGAGGGACGAAAGCCAGGGUCUCCAACCGGAUUAGAUACCCCAGUAGUCC
rnacentral:rRNA from 1 species